GAUGAAGAACGCAGCGAAAUGCGAUAAGUAAUGUGAAUUGCAGAAUUCAGUGAAUCAUCGAAUCUUUGAACGCACAUUGCGCCCGCCAGUAUUCUGGCGGGCAUGCCUGUCCGAGCGUCAUUUCAACCCUCGAACCCCUCCGGGGGGUCGGCGUUGGGGAUCGGCCCUUUACGGGGCCGGCCCCGAAAUACAGUGGCGGUCUCGCCGCAGCCUCUCCCGCGCAGUAGUUUGCACACUCGCAUCGGGAGCGCGGCGCGUCCACAGCCGUUAAACACCCCAAACUUCUGAAAUGUUGACCUCGGAUCAGGUAGGAAUACCCGCUGAACUUAAGCAUAUCAAUAAGCGGAGGA
rnacentral:misc_RNA from 1 species